GAGUGCUAUCUACGGAGGCGGCCGGAGGCUGGGGCUGGGAGUACGGUCAGUGAAGCUGAAGGAACCAGCGUCAGCGGGCGGGGCUGUUCAGGCUCCGCGCAGCGUCUCCACUGAAUGAAGGAAGGCAUUUGGUACAAGUGCGUGCACUGGGACAGCACGGGACAGGAGCCCACCACUCAUUCUGAUGCGUUUUAUUAUCUGGGAUCGCUGCUCACACAAAAAGGCACUUCAAGGGCCCCCCGACUCUAUCUAGUCCUUACACAUGGAUAGGAGCAAAGCACUGGACCAGCUGCUUGCAGAACUUGAGUCAUUUUUGAAGUUACUGGAUAAUGAAAAUCUCAGCCUCAGUGCCUUAGCAAAAAAAUGUGUCUUAUCCGAUCUACUUCACAACAUCAUCAGUUCUUCAGCUGGAGAGGAAGAAUAUAUCUAUAUGAACAAAGUUCUGCUUGAAGAAACCAUUGCAACUGAGAAGAAAGUAGCAGAGAAAGG